AAACUCAAAAAAUUGAUUUAGACGCUCUACGUAUAGUGUCCACACACUUACAGACAAUCGAACUUACAAACAAAAAUUAUAAAAGAACAAUAAUAUAGGUGUUAGACGAAUUGUUUUUCUUUAUGGGAAUAGAUUAUUUAACGUUUAAAAAAUAUGCAAACGCAAAAACGUUAACAGUUUGGUCGUAUAAAAUGCUAGGCAUAAACUGCAGUGCUCGAGUUAGUUUAUAUUGUAUGGUUGUUAUAUAAUGUAACAUUAGAUUAGAAACCACUCCCGAUUUUGAUGAUCGGAGCAAGUAGAUUUCUAGUGAAAAAGUCGUUUGCAGACGGCAAAACAUAC